rnacentral:miRNA from 1 species
GUUGUUUCGUGUUUGGUUA